GAGCGGAUGAGAGGAGCUUGCUUCUCGAUUCAGCGGCGGACGGGUGAGUAAUGCCUAGGAAUCUGCCUGGUAGUGGGGGACAACGUCUCGAAAGGGACGCUAAUACCGCAUACGUCCUACGGGAGAAAGUGGGGGAUCUUCGGACCUCACGCUAUCAGAUGAGCCUAGGUCGGAUUAGCUAGUUGGUGAGGUAAUGGCUCACCAAGGCGACGAUCCGUAACUGGUCUGAGAGGAUGAUCAGUCACACUGGAACUGAGACACGGUCCAGACUCCUACGGGAGGCAGCAGUGGGGAAUAUUGGACAAUGGGCGAAAGCCUGAUCCAGCCAUGCCGCGUGUGUGAAGAAGGUCUUCGGAUUGUAAAGCACUUUAAGUUGGGAGGAAGGGUUGUAGAUUAAUACUCUGCAAUUUUGACGUUACCGACAGAAUAAGCACCGGCUAACUCUGUG
rnacentral:rRNA from 1 species